GUGAGAAUCUGCCUUCAGGAUGGGGACAACAGCUGGAAACGGCUGCUAAAACCCAAUGUGCCGAGAGGUGAAAUAUUUAUAGCCUGAAGAUGAGCUCGCGUCAGAUUAGCUAGUUGGUAAGGUAAUGGCUUACCAAGGCGACCAUCUGUAGCUGGUCUGAGAGGAUGAUCAGCCACACUGGGACUGAGACACGGCCCAGACUCCUACGGGAGGCAGCAGUGGGGAAUUUUCCGCAAUGGGCGAAAGCCUGACGGAGCAAUACCGCGUGAGGGAGGAAGGCUCUUGGGUUGUAAACCUCUUUUGAUCGGGAAGAAGACAGUGACGGUACCGAUCGAAUCACCAUCGGCUAACUCCGUGCCAGCAGCCGCGGUAAUACGGAGGAUGCAAGCGUUAUCCGGAUUUAUUGGGCGUAAAGCGUCCGCAGGUGGUUGAGCAAGUCUGCUGUCAAAGCGCGGAGCUUAACUCCGUAAAGGCAGUGGAAACUGUUUAACUUGAGUACGGUAGGGGUAGCGGGAAUUCCCAGUGUAGCGGUGAAAUGCGUAGAUAUUGGGAAGAACACCAGCGGCGAAAGCGCGCUACUGGGCCUGUACUGACACUGAGGGACGAAAGCUAGGGGAGCGAAAGGGAUUAGAUACCCC
rnacentral:rRNA from 1 species